CACGUAGGGCGCAAGCGUUGUCCGGAAUCAUUGGGCGUAAAGAGCGUGUAGGCGGCCCGGUAAGUCCGCUGUGAAAGUCCAGGGCUCAACCCUGGGAUGCCGGUGGAUACUGUCGGGCUCGAGUCCGGAAGAGGAGUGUGGAAUUCCUGGUGUAGCGGUGAAAUGCGCAGAUAUCAGGAGGAACACCAAUGGCGAAGGCAGCACUCUGGGACGUGACUGACGCUGAGACGCGAAAGCGUGGGGAGCGAACAGG
rnacentral:rRNA from 1 species